rnacentral:rRNA from 1 species
UACGAAGGGGGCUAGCGUUGUUCGGAAUUACUGGGCGUAAAGCGCGUGUAGGCGGGUUUUUAAGUCAGGGGUGAAAUGCCAAGGCUCAACCUUGGAACUGCCUUUGAUACUGGAGAUCUUGAGUCCGGGAGAGGUGAGUGGAAUUGCGAGUGUAGAGGUGAAAUUCGUAGAUAUUCGCAAGAACACCAGUGGCGAAGGCGGCUCACUGGCCCGGAACUGACGCUGAGACGCGAAAGCGUGGGGAGCGAACAGG